AGGUUUUUUUGUGCAAAUUGACUUGGGUAUCUGACACAGGAUAAGGCAACAAUUAUGAAUGACUUACCUGGAAUAUAAAAACCCCCAAACUGGUAGAGGAACAGAGUUUAGAAAAACGAUAAAAUGGGGGUUUUUGUUACUAGAAAAUGCAGUUUGGUAAUGUUCAGUUAGAAAGAAUAACAUUCUUGUAUGCCACAUUCAGUUUUGAUGAAAAGAAGUGGGCAGGUGAUUUGAACAGAAUACGUACUUUGAUUUCAGCCUAAAACCAACUCCAAACAUUGUACUCAUACUUGAUUGCAAAGGGCAGAUUUCUAUUUAUGCACUCAAGAUGAUUAUCCAAUUAUAAAUUAGCAAUUGCUCAUGUGGAAUGCUUCAUUUUAAUCUAAAAAUAAAAUUCAAACACGUAACUAAAACAUAGGAAUAAACAUUAAAAAUAAAACCAGCAUUCUUGAAUUAGGCAGUGAUCAUGAAAUAGCAAUUUAUUUUUCCAAAUAAUAUAGUUCUUGUUCCAGCACAUUAAAAAAAAUAAUUCCCAUUUUAUUAAACUUACUUUACAAUGCAGUUAUACCACAAAAAUGACAAUUCAUUGGUGAUUUUUGUUCAGUACCUUAAGUAGAAUUUACUCAGUUUUUUUAGUAAAAAGACCACCUUUUUGUGCCUACAAAAUUUGCCAUGGGAUCUGAAAGCCAGUCUUGCUCAGGAAUUUUGACUAGUGACGAGAAUUUAGCAAAUGGAAUUGAAUUAGCAAUUCUGCAAACAGAAAAAAGUAAUUUUGCUGUAUUGGCUCUCUUGAUAACAGCAGGAAUAAAAAGUCUCUCUUCAAUGAGGUAAAGCAAACAUGACUUUGAAUACCCAGAUAUUUUCCCGGGGGGAGGGGAAAUGAGCAUGGGAGUGGAAAUUAAUGGAAACCAUACUGCUGAGUACACCAUGCUGAAAUUUCAUCCAGAGUGACGAGUAAGCAAAAAAGUGCCAUUUUACAAAAAAUUUUUGAUGACUACACUUCAAAAAAAAAAAUCUUUCUACAUACACCUUGAAAUCUAAGCCUGAAUUUAGGUAGUAACAGAUCAUAAUUUGUUCUUUGAACAAAAAUGGUUCUAAAAUUGCAAGAUACACUGAAGAUAAAUAGCAGCAAGCAGUUAAAAAAUGGAAACAAAGACAUAAUGGAGUUAAUGACCCAACUUGAAGUGGCCAAACUUUGCUAUGGUCAGACACAUAUAGGGAGAAAACAGAGGAAUAUAAAAUGACUACACAUAAAGGGAGAGAACAGAGCAAUAUAAAGUCAAUAAGACUUAUUUGU